UGGGGAAUAUUGCACAAUGGGCGCAAGCCUGAUGCAGCCAUGCCGCGUGUGUGAAGAAGGCCUUCGGGUUGUAAGCACUUUCAGCGAGGAGGAAGGGUUCAGUGUUAAUAGCACUGUUCAUUGACGUUACUCGCAGAAGAAGCACCGGCUAACUCCGUGCCAGCAGCCGCGGUAAUACGGAGGGUGCAAGCGUUAAUCGGAAUUACUGGGCGUAAAGCGCACGCAGGCGGUUUGUUAAGUCAGAUGUGAAAUCCCCGCGCUUAACGUGGGAACUGCAUUUGAAACUGGCAAGCUAGA
rnacentral:rRNA from 1 species